rnacentral:snoRNA from 1 species
ACCUCCAUAGUGUGAUAAGGUUUAAAUAAAAUAUCACAUACAUCCUUGGACACAUAAGAAUUGGAGGCGAAGAGAUGUGGACUUGGAGAAAUCUAGAGCCAGCUCGUUUUCUGCAGGCUCAAGAUCACCUUUUCCCCCACAC